CUGGCUUGGAUGGUGCAAAAGGUUGAGGGAAAAUGACUGGUUUCACUUCAUUCACGUUAAAAUUUGAACCGCCAAACUGCGCAGAAGAGUUUCUGAAAGGACAAGUUAAUUGAUGAUUUUCCCUGGCAGUCCUGUCAUGAAAACCCAGGCGAAGUUCACUAUAAGGGCACUGGAGGAACUCACAAGUGUAGAUCUUGUGUUCCAUCAUGUUUAAAUCAUCGGAUGGCUUCCUCUUUCGCAUGAAAUCCAAAUUAUUGACAACUCCCUUAAUAGGAUACGAUUGUUGUUGGACAGCCCUCAUUGUAUCCAUGCUGAAAUUAGAUGUAUUGAGAUGCCCGGGUUUGAGCUCUUGUACAUCAAAGUUUGGCUCAUCUUCAGCCCCUUCAACAUCAUACUCAUUGCAGUCAUUUAUAACAAAAGACCCACUUCCUCCACCUGAGGACAAAGGUGGGCAGGAAUCAGGGUAAAGCUCUCGUGCUAAGGCCUCCUCCUGGUUAAUGAUAGCGAGCCAAGUUGCACUCUCCUUUGCUGUCAUCUUGUCCUGCAAGCACUUAGACUGCCUUACAAGCUUGCGAAUCUUGGCAAUAUCAGGAGACAUAUGCUUGAUUACUGCCGUGAGAACACCCACUUUCCAAGCCUUCUUCAAGUCAUGAGGUUUCUUAUAAGGAGGAGGACCUUGAUCUUUGGGCAAUCCCAGUUGUGGCCACCAUUCCUCGUUGCCAGUAGGCCACCAUGGUGGGGGAACACCUUUCUCCAAAGGAAACCGCCUCUGAGGGGGAUCAC
rnacentral:lncRNA from 1 species